UCCUAUCACUUACAUGUUGAGACAGUUUGACCACGCCCACUCCCGAGCUCCAGUCAGAUAAAAAGAAGGACAAUUUCUGCAGACGACACCACAGCUCCUAGUAGCCAGAUAUUUGCUGAUCAGUUCAGAACCUUUCAGUGUUCAACUCAACACCAAUCAAUCAAGAUGAACAACACCGUCUUUGUCGUUCUCGUCGUCCUGGCUCUGAUCGCCGCUGCCAGUGCUAUGUCAUUCUCCAGCUGUAACAGCAAAUUCAACGACUGGUACAGCGACUGUAAGAGCCGUUAUGGCCAACAAAAAUGUGACGUAGCCAUGGGAGGCUUCUCUGUAUCUUGCUAUUACAGCUAAGCUCUUCAUAUGUGUCUUGUAACCUGAACACGUUACCAGCCGUGGACUUCUGAAUAAAUCUAGAUCUACUGCCUGA